CGAGAGAGAGCUUGCUUUCUCGAGCGAGUGGCGAACGGGUGAGUAACGCGUGAGGAACCUGCCUCAAAGAGGGGGACAACAGUUGGAAACGACUGCUAAUACCGCAUAAGCCCACGACCCGGCAUCGGGUAGAGGGAAAAGGAGCAAUCCGCUUUGAGAUGGCCUCGCGUCCGAUUAGCUAGUUGGUGAGGUAACGGCCCACCAAGGCGACGAUCGGUAGCCGGACUGAGAGGUCGAACGGCCACAUUGGGACUGAGACACGGCCCAGACUCCUACGGGAGGCAGCAGUGGGGAAUAUUGCACAAUGGGGGAAACCCUGAUGCAGCGACGCCGCGUGGAGGAAGAAGGUCUUCGGAUUGUAAACUCCUGCUGUUGAGGAAGAUAAUGACGGUACUCAACAAGGAAGUGACGGCUAACUACGUGCCAGCAGCCGCGGUAAAACGUAGGUCACAAGCGUUGUCCGGAAUUACUGGGUGUAAAGGGAGCGCAGGCGGGAAGACAAGUUGGAAGUGAAAUCCAUGGGCUCAACCCAUGAACUGCUUUCAAAACUGUUUUUCUUGAGUAGUGCAGAGGUAGGCGGAAUUCCCGGUGUAGCGGUGGAAUGCGUAGAUAUCGGGAGGAACCCCAGUGGCGAAGGCGG
rnacentral:rRNA from 1 species